rnacentral:rRNA from 1 species
GAUGAACGCUAGCGGCAGGCCUAAUACAUGCAAGUCGAACGGUGUCUUCGGACAUAGUGGCGCACGGGUGCGUAACACGUAUGCAACCUACCUUACAUUGGGGGAUAGCCUUUCGAAAGGGAGAUUAAUACCGCAUAAGACAGUAGCUGGGCAUCCAGCAGCUGUUAAAGAUUUAUCGAUGUAAGCUGGGCAUGCGUCCAAUUAGCUAGUUGGUGAGGUAACGGCUCACCAAGGCAAUGAUUGGUAGGGGAACUGAGAGGUCAAUCCCCCACACUGGCACUGAGAUACGGGCCAGACUCCUACGGGAGGCAGCAGUAGGGAGUAUUGGGCAAUGAACGCAAGUCUGACCCAGCCAUGCCGCGUGCAGGAUGAAGGCGUUAUGCGUUGUAAACUGCUUUUAUACAGGAAGAAACGACUCUUGCGAGAGGCAUUGACGGUACUGUAUGAAUAAGCACCGGCUAACUCCGUGCCAGCAGCCGCGGUAAUAC